AACGAACGCUGGUGGCGUGUUUUAUACAUGCAAGUCGAGCGAGGACGGUAGCAAUACCGAGCCGAGCGGCGAACGGGUGAGUAACGCGUAAGCAAUCUGCCCCACAAUCGGGAACAACCGUGCCAACGCGCGGCUAAUGCCGGAUAUUGUAGUCUACUGCAUAGUAGGCCAACGAAAGAUUUAUUGUUGUGGGAUGAGCUUGCGUCCGAUUAGCUAGUUGGCGGGGUAAUAGCCCACCAAGGCGACGAUCGGUAGCCGGCCUGAGAGGGUGAUCGGCCACAUUGGGACUGAGAUACGGCCCAGACUCCUACGGGAGGCAGCAGUAGGGAAUAUUGCGCAAUGGGGGGAACCCUGACGCAGCAACGCCACGUGUGGGAAGAAGCAUUUCGGGUUGUAAACUUCUUUGAUCGGGGACGAAGAUGACGGUACCUGCAGAAGAAGCUCCGGCCAACUACGUGCCAGCAGCCGCGGAAACAUACUCGUA
rnacentral:rRNA from 1 species